UUAACAUUCUUAUUCCUAAAACCGUUUCUAAAAAAUUUGAAAUGGCAACACCACAGGCAAAAGCUGAUGUAAUCUUGCGAAAUGUCAUCUUGACAAACGGCUUUGCGUUUACAUUCGGCAUUUGUGAAGUUCUGUGUUUUUUCUUUAGUUUUUAGUUGAAAAAGGAAAAGGUUGAGUCAUUUCAGUGUUUUUGUAAACUGUUACGAUAGUAAAAACUUGUGCCCUUUGUGCUGCACCAUGGUAAGAAGGCGAUUUAAGCUUAUCUUUUCACAAGUAAAUACCGAUAUUGUCAUAACAUCAUAUCUAGGGACACCCGUCGUCAUAAACGUAGAAUAAUAAAAACUUAUUAUUAUUAAGAAAUCUAUAAUAAAUAUAAAAUAUUUAAUUUGCAUAAAAAUGCUUUUUAUUAGGUAAGUACCUUUACUCUAAUGAAGUACGUUAAAAAACGUAUAAACAGUUUAUAAAAGGUAAUCUUGUUUAUAAUUUAAAGAAUAAUCUAUUAAUAAUAAAUAUUUAUCACGUAAAUAUUUUUGGACGACGUCACUGGUAAAGAUUACUUGUGUUGGUGGAAUCAAUAAAGCACUGUUCAGAGUGGGAGCGACGAGCGUCGCGUCGCGAUAGCGUUGUGACGAGCAUCGCGGUUAGUAAUUCAGAGUGACGGAGCGACGCGACGCGUUGAAAAUUUAAUAAAAUUACAAAUUUAAAAUCAUCAGUUCAUAAAAUGGCUCCAACGAAAGCAGUUCGUUUGUUUUUGUUAGUGGACACGCCCUAUUAUAAGUUUAAAUGGUUAAACAAAAAAGUAGGAAUUCACCCCAUAAAUAGGGAAAGAUAUAGGUUUGGUGAAUUUCACCAUCUGUACUAUAAAUUAAGAAAAUAUCCAGACUGAUUUUGGAACUACCUGAGAAUGUCCAUCGAAACGUUUGAUAAUUUGAUGAAAAACGUUGGUCCUUAUCUGGAGAAGACACAAACAAACUUCGUCAGAAGCCGCUACAUAUCACCUGCAGAACGACUUGUCAUUGCUAUAAGAUUUCUUGUCACGGGAACCACCUAUAAACAUUUGGGACACGAAUUUAGAGUUGGAUACUCCAUAGCUUCUGAGAUCGUAAAGGAAACAAGUGCCAUUAUUUGGGGAAAAUUACAAGGAGAUUACAUGCCAUUUCCUAGUCAAGAGCAGUUAAUAAUAAGUAAAACAAUAAUCGAAGAAUACAAUGCAUUGUGGAAUUUUCCAACUGUUUUGGAUCUAUUGACGGAAAGCACUGCCAACUGCCAACUGUCGGACUACAAGCGGUUGCCGAUGCUAACAAAAAAUUUAUCACUAUAAAAGUGGGUGCAAAAGGAUCUGAAAGUGACGGUGAUGUUUUUCAGUCUUCGAUACUUUACAGUUUGUUAGAGACAAAUGGACUAAAUGUACCUCCAGACCGAGCAUUGCCAAAUUCUAAUAUUAUUAUACCAAAUGUCCUGAUAGGUGAUGAGGCAUAUCCGCUAAAAACCUAUCUAAUGAGACCGUAUCCAAGACCAAGAAAUGGAAUUUUCAAUAAUGAAAAGCAACGUUUCAAUUACCGUCUUUCAUGUGCACGAAAAUGCAUUGAAAAUGCAUUUGGUAUAUUAUAUCAAAAAUUUAGAAUUUUUGAUACAAGUAUUUUACUUAAAGAACAAACCGCUAUUAAUGUUAUUAAAUGCGCAUGUGUUCUAGAGAAUAAACAAAACAAUAUAAACUUAAACCCAAGAAUGACAGUUCGAAAUAAUAGAGCAGCUAAUACGGCGAUAAACAUUCGAAAUUCAUUUAAACAGUAUUUUGCCGAGGAGAAUUUAUAAAUUUUGUAACUUAAAAUUAAGAAAAUAAUUUCUAAGUUAUACUAGUGUUUUUUUACUUAUUUGAUAAUCCCAAAAUCUCUCCCACCUCUAAGAAAAAAAGUAUAAAGUUUAUCCCUUAAAUGUCUAUGACGCCAGUUUUGUGUUCCAAAGUGCAGGUCAUACUUAAAUUUUUGCAAUCAAAACUUCAGAAACGUUCUCCUCUGUUGAAGCCAUAUUAACCACUAAUCAUAGAUAAACAGUUUAUAGGGGUUAAUAAGGGCCACUAAUCGCGCCAAAUCGCAAUAGCAAAACAAUUCCGUUUGUUUUCGUCGCAGUCGCGUCGCGUUACGUCGCCGUGCUAAUCGCUCUCACUCUGAAUGCUUCUAUUUAGUAACAUUAGGUUGUUUUACUUUCGUCGCGUCGCUCGUCGCUCCCACUCUGAACAGUGCUUAAUGCGAUCGAGCGGCGUUGCAACAACAUCGCCAUUUUCUCUAAUAUACGUUAUCUGGAUUUAUUUAACUUUGAAUAUUCACUUCUUAAUUAUCAUAUUUUAUUAAAGAGGAAUAUUAUUGUUUUUAUGGAGAUGCUGCAAGCAAACAAACUGCCCAUAGACGUAGCCGAUCGAGAGUUCUAGCCGUGACACUGGUUUCGUGGCGUCAAAAUUGAAGCCGAGAUUUGGUGGCGCACGCCGUACAGUGGAACGACUAAGUGGAGAUACCGCGGGACCUAAUAUUUUACAUUUUACAAGAUAAUAUAUUUUUUAUUAUUACGUAUUUUUAGGUAUAUGAUAAAUGUUUUAAAUAUUUUUUAUUAUUUAUUUUAUUGGAAAAAUAUACAUAAACGGUGUUUCAAAUUCGUCUACCCCAAAGUUGCACAUUAUUUACUUGUAAAAGAAUAUGCCAUAUAAAUAUAUAUAUAUAUAUAUAUAUAUAUUGGUGGGGAUUAGUGACUUUCCACCCAUAUAAGGAGACGGAAAAGAAUGACUGCUGUUACUUAAACGACAAAGGUGUAAUAAAAUGAUUAAAUGUAAAAUGUCAAAUUAACCCGACAAUCUAAAGCACCCCGGAAUGGCUUGGAGUCUUUACCGAGUUAUGAAUUACGACGAGUGUGCGAAUGUCUUGCACGGCCGGCUAAAUUAGACCGACGUCUCUGACUAUUGAAGACCGAGAAUGAAUUAAUACUAAUUAGGUCACACACAAGACGCCACCCGCGUAAAAAGUCACAUUACAACACAGGUGCGCUUCGAUCGCCGUUGUUAUGUCUGGCGUCCAAGGACUAGGGGAAUAUGGUGCAAAUUUGAAGCCCUUUGGAGAUUUGUAGUAUUAAAUAGUUUUGGGCU